rnacentral:rRNA from 1 species
GACGAACGCUGGCGGCGUGCUUAACACAUGCAAGUCGAACGGAAAGGCCCUGCUUUUGUGGGGUGCUCGAGUGGCGAACGGGUGAGUAACACGUGAGUAACCUGCCCUUGACUUUGGGAUAACUUCAGGAAACUGGGGCUAAUACCGGAUAGGAGCUCCUGCUGCAUGGUGGGGGUUGGAAAGUUUCGGCGGUUGGGGAUGGACUCGCGGCUUAUCAGCUUGUUGGUGGGGUAGUGGCUUACCAAGGCUUUGACGGGUAGCCGGCCUGAGAGGGUGACCGGCCACAUUGGGACUGAGAUACGGCCCAGACUCCUACGGGAGGCAGCAGUGGGGAAUAUUGCACAAUGGGCGGAAGCCUGAUGCAGCAACGCCGCGUGCGGGAUGACUGCCUUCGGGUUGUAAACCGCUUUCGCCUGUGACGAAGCGUGAGUGACGGUAAUGGGUAAAGAAGCACCGGCUAACUACGUG